UUGUGAGGCAUCUCCGGGUAGGGCGCCAGCCUAAGUUCCUUGGAACAGGACGUCACAGAGGGUGAGAAUCCCGUGCUUGGCUGGCUGUCCCCAUCCACGUGAGGUGUCUUCGACGAGUCGAGUUGUUUGGGAAUGCAGCUCAAAAUGGGUGGUAAAUUUCAUCUAAAGCUAAAUAUUGGUGGGAGACCGAUAGCGCACAAGUAGAGUGAUCGAAAGAUGAAAAGCACUUUGAAAAUAGAGUUAAAAAGUACGUGAAAUUGUUGAAAGGGAAGCGCUUGAGACCAGACUUCGGUAGGGGGUGAUCAGCCGUCCUUCUGGGCGGUGCACUUGCCCCCCUCCGGGCCAGCAUCGGUUGAGGCGGCGGGAUAAAGGUCCCGGGAAUGUGGCUCCUUCACGGGAGUGUUAUAGCCCGGGUGAAUGCCGCCAGCCUCGACCGAGGACCGCGCCCGCAAGGGUUAGGAUGCUUGGCAUAAUGGUCUUCAGCGAC
rnacentral:rRNA from 1 species